AUCACUAACUGUAUCCGGAAGAGUCCUGCAAGAAGACACAAAAGCCAGCACAAGCUUGCUGAUGACAGCUGAGGACACGCGGGAAUGUCUGUGACACAACAGCCACUGCAGUCAGGGAAGAUCUAGAAAAUACAGGAAAGUCCUUCUGUUGCGGACGUGACCCCUUGCAGAGCUGUGACGCAGUGCCCAGGCUGCAGGAGCAGAAGCAUUUCAGGGGCAGCUGACAUCGAAAAUGGUACCUCGUGUGAGUGGUCAGGUUUGAUUUGGAGACUUCCCCCUUUGGCUUGAACCUCAGCUCAGAAACUUUCUCUCUCCAGAAUAGUAUUACACAGAGCUCGGUGUUCAAGAGUGAAAUCCCAUGACACUGCAGGUCCCCACGCAUCAACCUCUCCAUAUUCCCUGCCAGUCAACGCUCUCUGGUUUUGGAGAAGACUUCUUCCACAUAACGUGAACACAGAAGAAUAGAUUCAGGGAGAUUGGAAACAUGAGCAUGAACGUGAUCACUAACUCGGCAUUCCACAGAUGCAUAAAGAACUGAGAAGAGAGCCUGGAAACCGCUUUGAACAUCGUGUUGUUGGUAAAGUCAGCUAUUCCAUCUGUCAGUAUUCACAUCAUACAACACUGCAGGUAGGUACCAGGCAGGUGUCUCCAUCAGUGCCCUCACUUGGUGAUACAUACAUACACAAAUCCACAGCAGAAAAUGAUGAACUUAGUAAGAAACCAGUAAGUUCCAAAAAACACCAUGCCUUUAAUCCUUUAUACAGCACUCCUAAAAUGAAGAACAGAUUCAUAGCUGGCAGUUGCUAAAAAGGAAAAAAAAAACCAAAACACACACACACAAAAAUCAACUUGGUGCAGUGUCCAGAGUCUCAAAGACUUCCUGGCCUACAGUCUAAUCUAUGAAGCACAUGUUAUAAAAUCAAUCUGCUGUGCAUUCUGUUCCCCUUCUUUCAUGCUGGUCUCUUCCAAGGCUUUUACAUCCACCAUUUAUUUGAAUACUCACCUGGGUCAAGACUGCUAACUUGGUAAUAUUCUGUGAGACAGGCUUGCAUGCCUUCCAAGUCACAGGAGAAGAUGUCAACAUUCAUCCACGUCUUUUGAUAUUACUUCUGUUUGUGACAGAGCAUCCUUCCCUAGCAGAAUUUCCAGCUCAAGCUUAAACUUCUCCAGUGAUUUCUGCAAAACACUAGAGUAUUUUCUGCUUUCAAGGACUGCAGAAGAAUUGAUUUAUCACAUCAGUUAAUAUCAGUCACUAGGGGUAGGUACAGCUAAAAACAAUGACUGAUGAAUGAUCAUGAACAAAUGCAGGUAGUUCAAGUUGAGCUCAG